ACAAUAGGUUGCGAAGGCCGCGAGGCGGAGCCAAUCCAGCAAAACUUCCCUCAAGUUCAGAUUGCAGGCUGCAACUCGCCUGCAUGAAGUUGGAGUUGCUAGUAAACGCAGGUCAGCCAUACUGCGUUGAAUACGUUCCCGGGGCUU
rnacentral:rRNA from 1 species